rnacentral:rRNA from 1 species
GACGAAAGUCUGAUGGAGCAACGCCGCGUGAGCGAAGAAGGCCUUCGGGUCGUAAAGCUCUGUUGUUAGGGAAGAACAAGUAUCGGAGUAACUGCCGGUACCUUGACGGUACCUAACCAGAAAGCCACGGCUAACUACGUGCCAGCAGCCGCGGUAAUACGUAGGUGGCAAGCGUUGUCCGGAAUUAUUGGGCGUAAAGCGCGCGCAGGCGGUCCUUUAAGUCUGAUGUGAAAGCCCACGGCUCAACCGUGGAGGGUCAUUGGAAACUGGGGGACUUGAGUGCAGAAGAGGAAAGCGGAAUUCCACGUGUAGCGGUGAAAUGCGUAGAGAUGUGGAGGAACACCAGUGGCGAAGGCGGCUUUCUGGUCUGUAACUGACGCUGAGGCGCGAAAGCGUGGGGAGCAAACAGGAUUAGAUACCCUGGUAGUCCACGCCGUAAACGAUGAGUGCUAAGUGUUAGGGGGUUUCCGCCCCUUAGUGCUGCAGCUAACGCAUUAAGCACUCCGCCUGGGGAGUAC